rnacentral:rRNA from 1 species
UACGUAGGGUGCAAGCGUUUGUCCGGAAUUAUUUGGGCGUAAAGAGCUCGUAGGCGGUUUUGUCGCGUCUGCUGUGGAAAACGCGAGGCUCAACCUCGCGCCUGCAGUGGAUACGGGCAGACUAGAGGUAGGGAGGGGAGAAUGGAAUUCCCGGUGUAGCGGUGAAAUGCGCAGAUAUCGGGAGGAACACCGGUGGCGAAGGCGGUCUCUGGGCCUU